CUUUAAGUUUUCAUGGCUCAGGACGAACGCUGGCGGCGUGCCUAAUACAUGCAAGUCGAGCGGACAGAAGGGAGCUUGCUCCCGGAUGUUAGCGGCGGACGGGUGAGUAACACGUGGGUAACCUGCCUGUAAGACUGGGAUAACUCCGGGAAACCGGAGCUAAUACCGGAUAGUUCCUUGAACCGCAUGGUUCAAGGAUGAAAGACGGUUUCGGCUGUCACUUACAGAUGGACCCGCGGCGCAUUAGCUAGUUGGUGAGGUAACGGCUCACCAAGGCGACGAUGCGUAGCCGACCUGAGAGGGUGAUCGGCCACACUGGGACUGAGACACGGCCCAGACUCCUACGGGAGGCAGCAGUAGGGAAUCUUCCGCAAUGGACGAAAGUCUGACGGAGCAACGCCGCGUGAGUGAUGAAGGUUUUCGGAUCGUAAAGCUCUGUUGUUAGGGAAGAACAAGUGCAAGAGUAACUGCUUGCACCUUGACGGUACCUAACCAGAAAGCCACGGCUAACUACGUGCCAGCAGCCGCGGUAAUACGUAGGUGGCAAGCGUUGUCCGGAAUUAUUGGGCGUAAAGGGCUCGCAGGCGGUUUCUUAAGUCUGAUGUGAAAGCCCCCGGCUCAACCGGGGAGGGUCAUUGGAAACUGGGAAACUUGAGUGCAGAAGAGGAGAGUGGAAUUCCACGUGUAGCGGUGAAAUGCGUAGAGAUGUGGAGGAACACCAGUGGCGAAGGCGACUCUCUGGUCUGUAACUGACGCUGAGGAGCGAAAGCGUGGGGAGCGAACAGGAUUAGAUACCCUGGUAGUCCACGCCGUAAACGAUGAGUGCUAAGUGUUAGGGGGUUUCCGCCCCUUAGUGCUGCAGCUAACGCAUUAAGCACUCCCGCCUGGGGAAGC
rnacentral:rRNA from 1 species